AUGCACGCUGGCGGCGUGCCUAAUACAUGCAAGUCGAGCGAACAGAUGAGGAGCUUGCUCCUCUGACGUUAGCGGCGGACGGGUGAGUAACACGUGGAUAACCUACCUAUAAGACUGGGAUAACUUCGGGAAACCGGAGCUAAUACCGGAUAAUAUAUUGAACCGCAUGGUUCAAUAGUGAAAGACGGUUUUGCUGUCACUUAUAGAUGGAUCCGCGCCGCAUUAGCUAGUUGGUAAGGUAACGGCUUACCAAGGCAACGAUGCGUAGCCGACCUGAGAGGGUGAUCGGCCACACUGGAACUGAGACACGGUCCAGACUCCUACGGGAGGCAGCAGUAGGGAAUCUUCCGCAAUGGGCGAAAGCCUGACGGAGCAACGCCGCGUGAGUGAUGAGGGUCUUCGGAUCGUAAAACUCUGUUAUUAGGGAAGAACAAAUGUGUAAGUAACUAUGCACGUCUUGACGGUACCUAAUCAGAAAGCCACGGCUAACUACGUG
rnacentral:rRNA from 1 species